rnacentral:misc_RNA from 1 species
UCCGGUUUAUCACCGGCAGUCUCCCUUAAGUUCCCAGCUUUACCUGUUGGCAAUAAAGGAUAAGGGUUGCGCUCGUUACGGGACUUAACCCAACAUCUCACGACACGAGCUGACGACAGCCAUGCAGCACCUGUCUCUUAGUUCCUUUCGGCACUCGAACAUCUCUGCUCAAUCCUAAGGAUGUCAAGGGUAGGUAAGGUUCUUCGGGUUGCAUCGAAUUAAACCACAUGCUCCACCGCUUGUGCGGGCCCCCGUCAAUUUCUUUGAGUUUUAACCUUGCGGCCGUACUCCCCAGGCGGAGAACUUAACGCGUUAGCUUCGCUACGUCGCGCAGAACCGUAGUCCCACACCUCACAGCCAGUUCUCAUCGUUUACCGCGUGGACUAC